rnacentral:tRNA from 1 species
AGAAAGGUGGCCGAGUGGUCGAAGGCGCACGCCUGGAAAGUGUGUAUACGGCAACGUAUCGAGGGUUCGAAUCCCUUCCUUUCUG